ACUAUUAAAAAAUAAAAAGAGAUAGAAGUUGGUAGUUUCUUCACGUAAUCGCUUCGUUCGUUCCCACAGCAAAAGAAACCCUAAACACAAAAUCCUCAAUCAUUCUCUACUAAUCAAUCAAUUCAUCCCAAAUUCGAUUUCACUUCUUCUUCUUCAAUCUGAUCUGUUAGCUAUGGACGCUCAAAGAGCUCUCCUCGACGAACUCAUGGGUUCAGCUCGAAAUUUGACUGAGGAAGAAAGAAGAGGUUACAAGGAAGUUAGUUGGGAUGAUAAGGAAGUUUGUGGAUUCUAUAUGGUUCGCUUUUGUCCUCAUGAUCUCUUUGUCAACACUCGCAGUGAUCUUGGACCUUGCCCGAAAAUACAUGACCCGAAGUUGAAAGAAAGUUUUGAGAACUCCCCAAGACAUGAUGCGUACGUACCCAAAUUUGAAGCCGAACUUUCUCAAUUUUGUGAGAAAUUGGUGAUGGACUUGGAUAGAAAAGUAAAACGUGGACGAGAACGUCUUAAUCAAGAGGUGGAGCUGCCACCGCCGCCACCACUGACAGCUGAAAAAGCUGAACAAUUGUCUGUGCUGGAGGAGAAAAUAAAGAACCUUCUGGAACAAGUCGAGUCUCUUGGUGAAGCUGGGAAGGUUGAUGAAGCUGAAGCUCUUAUGAGAAAGGUGGAAACGCUUAAUACUGAGAAGGCAAUCUUAACACAGCCUCAAAAUGAAAAAGUGUUAAUGCUUCAGGAGAAGAAGAUGGCACUCUGUGAAGUAUGUGGGUCUUUUCUUGUGGCAAAUGAUGCUGCAGAAAGAACUCAGUCUCAUGUUGCAGGAAAGCAGCAUGUUGGCUAUGGCAUGGUUCGUGACUUCAUAAAUGAAUACAAUACUGCUAAGGAGAAGACUAUUGAAGAAGAAAGACUGGCUCGGGAAAAAGAGUUAGAAGAGCGAAGAAAACAGAAGGAGAAGGAUACCGACAGAAAGAGACGGAGUGAUUCAAGUGACAGGGAAAAAUAUCGUGAUAAAGACCGAGAUAGGGAGCGUGAUAGGUACAGAAAUAGAGACUCAGAUCGUGAAAGAUCCCGGGAGUAUGAAGUUAGAGGUAAUCGAGAUCGGGGAAGGGGGGUGGAUUCUAGGUUGAGGAAUGGAAAAAAUGGAAGCAGAGACAGGUACCGCAAUCGGAGCAGAUCACGCUCCCCUAUUAGGCAUAACUACAGAAGGUCUUGAAGUCCAGUUUGCUUAAAGUAGUGGAAUUUCUCGAUAGAUGUCAGAAUUUGAAUUUAAAAGAGGUAGACCUUAAUAUCCCAAGACUUGCAUAAAUAUGUGCUUUUCGAGUCUUAUGUUUUCUCAUCAUCAAGGGUGAAUUUACCUUUUUCCCAUCUCAGAGCUUUCUUGAGACUAUACAAUCUCCCUUUCAUCAAAUAUUAUUAAUGGAGAACAGGGUUGAGUCUUUCUUUAUCUGCAUUUUCUGGAAAAUCAUUUGAUUGAGUAAAGAUGUCAGACACAAAAUUACAUGAGUCAUUGUCUUUGCCGCAAAAGGGUACUCUUGUUUUGAGGUAACAUGUGAACCUUAUUACCAUGAGACAAAUAGAUUGGUAGUUGUUCAUAGAAAUGUUUUUGUUUGCCCUUUUCAUAUGUUUCAUUACUUUUGUUUCUUAAGUUGAUAUAAACCAGCACAGGUUUAUAAAUGCUGCUUAUUCUGACAUGCAUUUGACAUUGAACUACACUCUGAAGGCACCAGUUUAGAAGAUAUAGGUAAUAAUCUUACUUGAAUUUGUUGUUAGAUAUUUCCCAAAUCUGUGGUAUUCGAAUUUAUAAUUUUACUGGGGAAAAGAUGAGUGCAUGCCGUCCACUCACAACUAAGCUUUGAGUUUGUCCAAUUGGUAACUCGUUUCGAAUGGUGAUUACAGAAUGGAGAAUUACCUCACCCAUAAAAAUAUAACUUGAUUUGCAAAAUGCUGUUUGAAUUGAACAUUCAUAGGACUGGAAAAUACAGGUAUUUGGCUCUUUGCCAAGUUAUUCUAUGGCAGAAAUAUUGAAUAACUGUAAUUGAACUGGGUCUUCGGUCACCUCCUUUUGUUUUGGGAACAAACCGAUUGUCUGUUGGAGGUAACUUUCUCUCAUAACUGUUAGUGUGUUACAUUUGGUUGGUCAGGAACACAAAUGUCGUCGUGAUAUUUAAUGGCUAGACUAGAUAGCUUCUGAACGUGAUAUUUGCAGGAAAAUAACCGCCUCUUGACGGGAGAAACAACACAAAAUGAAAAUUUUGCAUAUUCUUUUUAUAUUAUGAAGUGAUGGUACAUUAUUCAGUCUUAAUAAUGAUUGUAAAAUUUCCAUGAAAAAUAAAAAUGAGCGAUUUUCGAGUA